AGCAGCCGCGGUAAUUCCAGCUCCAAUAGCGUAUAUUAAAGUUGUUGCAGUUAAAAAGCUCGUAGUUGAAUUUCGGGAUUGACGUGAUGGUCGUGCCUUAAGGGGUAUGAACUGUCGCUGUUGAUUUCUCACCUUCUGGAGAAACUUGAUGUCCUUAAUUGGGUGUCUUGCGGAUCCAGGACCUUUACCUUGAAAAAUUAGAGUGUUUAAAGCAGGCAUUUUUGCUCGAAUACAUUAGCAUGGAAUAAUAGAAUAGGACGGCAUGGUUCUAUUUUGUUGGUUUCUAGGAUCACCGUAAUGAUUAAUAGGGAUAGUUGGGGGCAUUAGUAUUCAAUUGUCAGAGGUGAAAUUCUUGGAUUUAUUGAAGACUAACUACUGCGAAAGCAUUUGCCAAGGAUGUUUUCAUUAAUCAAGAACGAAAGUUAGGGGAUCGAAGACGAUCAGAUACCGUCGUAGUCUUAACCAUAAACUAUGCCGACUAGGAA
rnacentral:misc_RNA from 1 species